rnacentral:tRNA from 1 species
GCAUCUAUAGUGUAAUGGAUAGCACAAGACACUUCUAUUGUUUUAGUGAGAGUUCGAAUCUUUCUAGGUGCG